rnacentral:tRNA from 1 species
AACCUAUUAAUUUAAAAGAUAAAUAUUGAGUUGUGGUCUCAAAAAUGCGGAAGCGCAUAGGUUU